AGUUGUAAUUUGCAGAGGAUGCUUUUGGCGAGGUGCCUUCCGAGUUCCCUGGAACGGGACGCCAUAGAGGGUGAGAGCCCCGUCUGGUUGGACACCGAGCCUCUGUAAAGCUCCUUCGACGAGUCGAGUAGUUUGGGAAUGCUGCUCUAAAUGGGAGGUAUAUGUCUUCUAAAGCUAAAUAUUGGCCAGAGACCGAUAGCGCACAAGUAGAGUGAUCGAAAGAUGAAAAGCACUUUGAAAAGAGGGUUAAAUAGUACGUGAAAUUGUUGAAAGGGAAGCGCUCAUGACCAGACUUGGGCCCGGUGAAUCAUCCAGCGUUCUCGCUGGUGCACUUUGCCGGGCUCAGGCCACCAUCAGUUUGCUCCGGGGGAUAAAGGCUUUGGGAAUGUGGCUCCUCCGGGAGUGUUAUAGCCCAUUGCACAAUACCCUGGGGCGGACUGAGGUUCGCGCAUUUAUGCAAGGAUGCUGGCGUAAUGGUCAUCAGCUACCCGUCUUGAAACACGGACCAAGGAGUCGUCUUCUUAUGCGAGUGUUCGGGUGUUAAACCCCUACGCGUAAUGAAAGUGAACGU
rnacentral:rRNA from 1 species